AUGGACUCUGCGCCUACGCUGUCGGUGCACGUCCUUGUGUUCCCUUGGCCACGGCAGGGACUCAUCAACCCCAUGCUCCACCUCGCCACGGCCCUCCUUGACGCCGGCGUCCACGUCACCUUCCUCCACACCGAGCACAACCUCUCCAGGAUUGCCAGGGCGCCUCCGCCGCGCCUACGUUUGCUGUCUAUCCCCGAUGGCCUCCCCGACGACCACCCACGCCACUACAUGGAGCUGAUGGAGUCCAUGUGCACGACCGGCAGCGCCGCGUACCGUGCCCUGCUCUUGUCAUCGCUUCUGUCCGCCGACGAUGUGCCGCCGGUGACAUGCGUUGUCGCCGAUGGCACCAUGCCGUUCGCCACCGACAUCGCCGACGAACUCGGCAUCCCGGCGCUUGCCUUCUGCACAUUCAGCGCGUGCAGCUCCCUGGCGUUCAUGUCCAUGCCUAAGGUCUUCGAGCUCGGCGAGAACCCCUUCCCUGCGGACGACCCAGUGUGUGGCGUUUUGGGGAUGGAGGGCAUUCUCCGGCGACGAGAUCUUCCUCGUGGUCCUGGACUCUGUUCCACUGAGCAAGCAGGCGGCGGAGAUCCCAUGAUACUCAAGAUUGGCGAGGGCGUCGCUCAUAGCUGCAAGGCACGUGCGCUGAUAAUCAACACCUCCGCGUCCAUGGAGCGGCCAGCGCUCGCCCACAUCGCGUCGCGCACACGCGACGUCUUCGCGGUAGGUCCACUCCAUGCCAGCUCGAGGUCCGCGGCAAGCGCGAGCCUGUGGCGGGAGGACGACGGGUGCAUGGCGUGGUUAGACGGCCACGGCGACCGGUCCGUCGUAUACGUGAGCCUGGGGAGCAUCGCCGUGAUCUCGUACGAGCAGUUCACCGAGUUCCUCUCCGGCCUCGCAGCCACCGGGUACGCCUUCCUCUUGGUGCUUCGGCCGGGCAUGGUCCAGAUGGCUAGCUCAGCGCUACUUCGAGAAGCCGUCGCGGUGGCGCAAGCCGGCAAGGCCAAUAUAGUGGAGUGGGCUCCUCAGCUGGACGUGCUGCGGCACAGAGCGGUGGGCUGCUUCCUGACACACGCCGGUUGGAACUCCACGCUGGAAUGCGCCGUCGAGGGCGUGCCGAUGGUGUGCUGGCCCUUCUUCCUCGACCAACAGAUGAACAGCCGUCUCGUGGGCGCCGUGUGGAGGACGGGGCUGGACAUGAAGGACGUGUGCGACAGGGCUGUCGUCGAGAAGAUGGUGAGGGAGGCCAUGGUGUCCGGCGAGAUCAAGGCAGCGGCCCAAGCCAUGGCGGAGCAGUUGAGCCUGGACAUCGCCGACGGGGGCUCAUCGUCAUCCGAGUUAGGGCGGCUCGUCCGCUUCAUCAGAGAGCUCAGCAUCAAGUCUGGUCCAGAGCCAAGAAUUACUUAA
rnacentral:rRNA from 1 species